GAUGAACGCUGGCGGCGUGCUUAACACAUGCAAGUCGAACGGUGAAGCCAAGCUUGCUUGGUGGCUCAGUGGCGAACGGGUGAGUAACACGUGAGCAACCUGCCCUGGACUCUGGGAUAAGCGCUGGAAACGGCGUCUAAUACUGGAUAUGAGCCUCUUCCGCAUGGUGGGGGUUGGAAAGAUUUUUUGGUCUGGGAUGGGCUCGCGGCCUAUCAGCUUGUUGGUGAGGUAAUGGCUCACCAAGGCGUCGACGGGUAGCCGGCCUGAGAGGGUGACCGGCCACACUGGGACUGAGACACGGCCCAGACUCCUACGGGAGGCAGCAGUGGGGAAUAUUGCACAAUGGGCGAAAGCCUGAUGCAGCAACGCCGCGUGAGGGAUGACGGCCUUCGGGUUGUAAACCUCUUUUAGCAGGGAAGAAGCGAAAGUGACGGUACCUGCAGAAAAAGCGCCGGCUAACUACGUG
rnacentral:rRNA from 1 species